rnacentral:rRNA from 1 species
CGCUGAAAGCAUCUAAGCGUGAAGCCCCCUUCAAGAUGAGACUUCCCAUAGCGCAAGCUAGUAAGACCCCUUAUAGACGAUGAGGUUGAUAGGUUCGAUGUGGAAGUGCAGUAAUGCAUGGAGCUGACGAAUACUAAUCGGUCGAGGACUUAUCCACA